UACCAGACCGAGAAGAUAAACUCGUGUCUUCUUUUCUUCGUCUUUCAUUAUUCUUCUUAUUUCUUCUUCUUCUCAUCUUCUUCUCUUUCCUACUCUUUUUGUUUUUUCUUCUUCUGCCAAUUUGAGAGACGAGUUUGAGAAUCAGUUAGAGAGAAUCGUUUGAUGAGGGAGACGAUGAGGGUUCGAAUCAUUAAGGAGAACAAGUAGGGAUUGUUAGGGUUCCUGUUUGAAGUGUUGAAUCGGUGAAGAAUUGAAGAAAUUGGAGUUUAUAGAUUCAAUUGAAGUUCUGAAAUUGUUCUAGGGAUGAACUGAGAAUUAGGGUUCCUGAAUCUGGGUUGAGAUUCGAUUAAAGAUUAAUUAGAAGAUGAAAUCGAUAUCUGGAAGGCUGAUUUGAUAUGGGUUUAUGUCUAAUUGAGUUAUGAAGUUGAUGCAGUGAAGAAUCGAGGGGUUAGGGUUUCUGCAUGUUGUGUUGGAAUUAGAUUUGAGCAAGAAUUAAGAAGAUAUAGACGGAAUUACAAGAUGGGUUUUACUGAAUUAGAGUUUGAGAUAGAAGAACAUCUUGAAAUUGGUAGUUAGGGUUGGAUCUGUUUUAAUGAAGAUUUGGGGUUAUAUUGAGAACCGAUGUUGUUAAUGAGGGUUGUGGAGAUGGUUAGCUGAAUUAUGUGUUAAAGAGGAUUUGAUCUCAAUUGCCUGAGCCAGAUAAAUCAAAAGUAAUUGUUUUCUUAUUCAAUUUAGCGGAUUUGUUCAUUGUUUAGUUUAUGUGAUGAUUUAUGAAGUUAUCGAUGAUGCUUUGAGUUUAUGAAGAAGUAUCUUUUGGGUUAUGGUUGGUUUGUGUGUAGUUGAGUUUUGAAUGGAUUGUAACUCAUAGAUGAAUGUUUGGAUUAUUGCAGAGAGAAUGAGUUUGCAGGUUUGUGAUGCUGUGUUAUUACAGCUGGUAUUAAGAUCAUCAAUUCAGUGGUGAGGCUAUAGAUACUGUAUUUGUGUGUGUGUUGAUGUUGAAGUUAUAGAACUGGCACAGAUUCAACUGGUUCUGUGGCAGUGAUGAAGGGUGGUUGUGUACAAAUGCUGAAGAUGACUUGCAGUAAGUGCAUUGAAUGAUGAAUAAGGAAUGAAGUUGUAGAUAUUUAGAUACAAGAAUUGAGGUGCAUGGCUGGCUGGUGUUGUAGUUGAUGGAGUUCGAUUGUGAAAUCCAGGGAAGAGCUCCUAGUGGUUCUAGGAUUGAAUGUGUUGAGCUGAGCUAAUGUUAUAUAUGAUUGCUAAGUUCAAUUGUUAUGGCUGUGAAGGAUUAAGUUGAUGGUGAACUAUAGAUGUUGCUGGUGGAGAUGCAAAGCGAAGAUACAUUGGUAAUUAUAGGUGCAUAGUCUGUAAAGAAGUGUUGGUUGGUUAAAUAUAUGUAUGGAAUGUUAGUAUUGAUAGUAAGUGGAUGAGAUAUGUAAUGGUAUGGCAAGGUUGAGUGAAAUGUAACUGAAGUGAAGUUGAAAUAAGUGUGGGAGUUGUAGUUUGUGAUAGUAAUUGAGCUAGGUUGAUCUGUAUUGGUAGAUGUAGGGUUUUGAUGAUCUCGGUGGAGUCUUGCAUCUGCUACCUAAAGUUUCAGAGGCAGAUCAGAGUUGCGCAGCGAAAGCUUCAAGGGUUGUUUUUGUUAGUUGAUUCACUUCUAUUAUGUUUAUUAUAUUACAUAUUGUAUCUGUAAACCAAAUGACUAUUGUAUAUGUAUCAUUUGAGAGGACUUCUUGUA